rnacentral:rRNA from 1 species
UACGUAGGGUGCAAGCGUUGUUCGGAAUUACUGGGCGUAAAGGGAGAGUAGGCGGGAAAAUAAGUUAGAAGUUUAAUAUAUAGGCUUAACCUAUAACCUGCUUCUAAUACUGUUUUUCUUGAGUAUUGGAGAGGGAGAUGGAAUUCCAGGUGUAGCGGUGGAAUGCGUAGAUAUCUGGAAGAACACCAGUUGCGAAGGCGGUCUCCUGGCCAAAUACUGACGCUGAUGCUCGAAAGCUAGGGGAG